rnacentral:rRNA from 1 species
AUUGAACGCUGGCGGCAGGCUUAACACAUGCAAGUCGAGCGGAGCGAGGGUGCUUGCACCUUAGCUUAGCGGCGGACGGGUGAGUAAAGCUUAGGAAUCUGCCUAUUAGUGGGGGACAACAUUCCGAAAGGGAUGCUAAUACCGCAUACGCCCUACGGGGGAAAGCAGGGGAUCUUCGGACCUUGCGCUAAUAGAUGAGCCUAAGUCGGAUUAGCUAGUUGGUGGGGUAAAGGCCUACCAAGGCGACGAUCUGUAGCGGGUCUGAGAGGAGGAUCCGCCACACUGGGACUGGGACCCGGCCCAGACUCCUACGGGAGGCAGCAGUGGGGAAUAUUGGACAAUGGGGGGAACCCUGAUCCAGCCAUGCCGCGUGUGUGAAGAAGGCCUUUUGGUUGUAAAGCACUUUAAGCGAGGAGGAGGCGCUCUAGGCUAAUACCCUAGAUGCGUGGACGUUACUCGCAGAAUAAGCACCGGCUAACUCUGUGCCAGCCGCCGCCGUAAGAC